GAUGAACGCUAGCGGCAGGCUUAACACAUGCAAGUCGAGGGGUAGAAGUUGCUUGCAACUUUGAGACCGGCGCGCGGGUGCGUAACGCGUAUGCAAUCUACCUUAUACAGAGGGAUAGCCCAGAGAAAUUUGGAUUACUACCUCAUAGUAUAAUUGAAUGGCAUCAUUUAAUUAUUAAAGUUCCAACGGUAUAAGAUGAGCAUGCGUCCUAUUAGCUAGAUGGGAAGGUAACGGCUUACCAUGGCAACGAUAGGUAGGGGUCCUGAGAGGGAGAUCCCCCACACUGGUACUGAGAAACGGACCAGACUCCUACGGGAGGCAGCAGUGAGGAAUAUUGGACAAUGGGCGCAAGCCUGAUCCAGCCAUGCCGCGUGCAGGAAGAAGCAUCUAUGGUGUGUAAACUGCUUUUGUACGGGAAGAAACACCCCUUCGUGAAGGGACUUGACGGUACCGUAAGAAUAAGGAUCGGCUAACUCCGUGCCAGCCGCCGCAGUAAUAC
rnacentral:rRNA from 1 species